UACGUAGGCAGCGAGCGUUGUUCGGAGUUACUGGGCGUAAAGGGUGUGUAGGCGGUUCUUUAAGUUUGGUGUGAAAUCUCCCGGCUCAACCGGGAGGGUGCGCCGAAUACUGAGGGACUAGAGUGCGGGAGAGGAAAGUGGAAUUCCUGGUGUAGCGGUGGAAUGCGCAGAUAUCAGGAAGAACACCCGUGGCGAAGGCGGCUCUCUGGAACGCAACUGACGCUGAGACGCGAAAGCGUGGGGAGCAAACAGG
rnacentral:rRNA from 1 species